rnacentral:lncRNA from 1 species
AACAAUUUGCAAAUUACAUAACUCUAUAAUAGUAAUGAAAUCUCUAUAAUCAGAACAUUGUCUUUGGAAAAUUAAAUUCAGAAGAAUACAAUCUUGAAUUUUCCCAGCACUUACAACACCAUCAUAUGAAUUCCACUAUGAAAGAUCAAUUUGUGGUCUUCACAAAGUGCAUGGAUCUGACAAAAUUUCCUCCAUCCCAACAAAAUUUUGCCGCACAUAUUUGAGAGGAAGUCAAAACCCUAAGUAGCCCAAAAAUAACUUCAUUAACGAUUUUAUCAGAAAAAAAAUGAACAAUGAAAACAACUCUGAGAAAAGAGGAAAGAAAAGAUUUCACCUUGAUGCUUGAAGGUACUAUUGAUAUGAACGAAAAUUCCUUCCACUUCCACUACACGAAGCUGCACAAACU